UAUAUAAACCUGGAGUUUCAGAACCUUGCCUUCACUUGUGGGAUCCAGAGGAAGACUGCAGCUCACCGCUCUCAACCAGACUGCAGCUCACUGCUCUCAACCAGACUGCAGCUGACCGCUCUCAACCAGACUGAGACCACCACCCUCAGCUGGACUGCAAUCACCACUAUUGACCAGACUGCAACAGCUCUCCCACCAGCAGGUUUUUCCCCUCACUUUGGACUCGGUGGGGGGAGCCCAAGGAACACCACUUUGUUCAUGCCCCAGGGUGCUGGGUUAUACAUUUGGGUUUUGUGGGUUAAAACCAAUUGCUUGUCUGUAUAAUUGUACUUAUUGCAUUAUUUUAAUAAAUUGUUAUUCUGAAUUAUAAUCUCUCUUUUGAGUUGAGUUCAUUUCCCCUGCUGGUUAACUUUUAAACCAGCACAAUAUACUUUAGAGAAUGAGCUUUCUUAUGAAAAUCCAGUAAAAAGAAUAGCAUAAUUUGUAAACUUUAACGUAUCAGCCAAAGAAAAGACAUUUAUAUUGUCCCACUGCUUUAUCAUCACAUACUAUCUUCCAUGGAUUUGGCACCAGCUAGUUUUUUAUAUUCUGUUAUGUAUAAUUGUAUUCCUUUCUCCUCUGAAUCAAUGACAUGUUGGAAUGUUUACUGAGUGGCUAAAAUAUGUACAGUUUUUUUAAAGUUUCAUUUAGAAACACAUAACAUAGCUGUAAACAAAACCUGUCCAUAUGUAGCUAGCUAAAUGCAUUAAUAUCGAAAUAUUUAAUCUCUAAGCCAGAGAAUAAAGCUUCGGGAAGUUAAGCAGUGUGGACUGGGAGACUACCUCCCAUGAAAAUCUUACCCAAACUGAGUGGGGGGAAAAAAAAAGCUAAAUUAAAGCUGAUUACCAAACAGCUCAGUUGUAGACAUUUAACUGCAAGUAUUUUGGUUAAUACUGCUUACUAAAAGCAGGCAUAGGCUACAAGUAUUUUAAGUUAUUUUCAGUUUCAAUUUGGUUCUUCUGUUACAAGAUAUUUUCCACCAUUCUAAUUGAUAUAAACUAAAUUAAAUGGUUAUGUUUUUCAGCAUAUGAGAUGUAAUAUUACCUUUGCUGUGAAUUUGGACUAUCAGAGUGAAAUCACUGAUAAUAAGCAAUGCUUAUUUCUCUGCAGGCCAAACAAAUACAAAAUUUCCAUGUUUCUAUUUGAAAGAUAUGUUAAGAACUAUACUGUAAUCAGUGGCACAUAGGGACGUCUGUGACAAUGAAGACUUGAAAAUGCAUCAAGUCAUCUCCAAACUUCAUGCAACAAAACCUUUGUAUAAAGGUUAGUUUUAUUGAGGUCUCAAUGAAAGUAAUCCAGGGACAAAAAGUGUGACACAGAUCAUAGCACAUUAUACUGACUUCAGUCCUUACAACAGCCAAGAAGCAGUCUCUGAACAUUUAUGAUUAAGCUUUACAGUGUUCCACAUGCUCUUUCUGGAAGACUUCAUUAAGUUCAUGCUGGUAGAAUCCAAACAGGAGAACUGAGUCCUUUCCUGCUUGCUCCUGAAGCCUAUGGAGGCUUCUUAUGCACUAGUAAAUGGUAUAUUUAUAAUAAUUAAGAAACGUUAAGUGUUUGAUUAUAAAAAUAUUGUGUAGAUGAACACAAUAUUCAUCCAUGAGAUAAACAUGUCAAGGUCAAUUUCAGGAAAAUGAAAAACAUAACUUCAUAUAUCUGCUUUGUAUUAAACAUCAUAAAUUUCCUGUCUCUACUUGUAUUUUUUAUUUCUUGUUAAAGCCUCAACAAACAAAUGGAAAACCACAAGAAUAAACAAAAACCCAAAACACCCAAAAAAACCCAAACCCAAAAUCACAACAGCAAAAACCAAAAUGCACCUUUGUUUCCAGGAGCACAGAGAUUAUGAUAACCAUACACAUAAGUGGAUGCGCUCUUGUUUUAGGCAAAUGAACCCAGAUGUCUGGAAAUGUUCCAUAGCUAUUACUUGAUUUGACCAUGUAUAUCUUAUAUAAGCAGGUAAGAGGAGGAGAGAAAGGCAAGUAAAAAUCAAUAUUAUAUGAAAGCUUUUCACACUGUGGAGAAAGUGUUUGCCCAUCAUAAACAGGGAAUUUUUUCCUUUCACAAAUUAGUUUCACUUUUAUUCCCAAUGCUACUGACUAUCCUGACACGCAGAAGACAUUUUCAGUCUAGAAGCCUGAGAUUCUUUUAAUCAAACAAUUAAGCAGUAUGUUUUGUUUCCCUUGCAACUCAGUGACUGGAAGAAAUUAUAAUCCUGGAAUAACAGUAUGAAACUACAACAGUGUAAAAUUCUAAUCAGUAUACAAUUAUGCAGUAAUGAGGAUAUCCAUCAGGUUGCGGCUCUGCCUUCCAAGAGAUUUAUAAACAUUCAUCACUACUGGAUGAUAUAACAGAGUAAGUCUAUGUUAGUCAAUGGGAGGAAUUGAGGGUUACAAUGUCAAAUAAAAACAGUCUGUAGGAGAAAAACUGUGGAAAUACUCCAGUGUCUGGUCUGGAAGAGUUCCAUGACAUCAUGACAAGAAAAGAUGAAAUUUUAAAAAAUUUUAGAACAGAUGCAGCUCAUACAAGACCUUUGAGUACAGUACCUAGUCUAAGCUCCAAAGAGAGGACGAAAAGGCAAGGCCUUACAUGUUUGAAGGCUCCAAGAUUCCUCCUACCAGCACCAGUGCUAUCAUUCCAUCCUAUGCACUGCUUGAACUACACAAGGUUACUUGGGCUGUUUAGAAAAGAUGGAAAAACGAGGCAUUGUGUCUUAUCUUUGUCAGUACAUUGAUAAAGGAUUAUAGACAAUCUUCCAUUGUUCCACAGAUCCCUGCUUUCUGUUACAAGACAGUGCCUGCUUGUGAAUGGAGAUUUUCUACGAAGUUCUGUCUAAGCUUUGACCAGGGCUGAAGAAGGGGCAGCUCCUCACAUCCAGCCUGAAGGGUGGAGUGGCAGGGCGGUUAGCCAGAGUUCAGUCCUCUGUCAAAGAGCUUACUAUGCUUUUAUUCUAUAUACAAAGGGACUUCAAUUAGCUGUAUGCUGUCUGAGACAAGAGAGCCUUUAUAAGCUUCAAAAUGGCCUACAAGUAAUGUUUCUGUUCCUUCACUAAUGUGUGGGACUCUCCCUCCCAUGGGAUAUACAACUGCUAUUGUGAUAUUCAAGAGAGCUGUAUAUGAAUUCUACCUGGAGCCCUGCUUUUAAAUGGGGUAUUUAUAAAACUAGCCAUAUUAUAGACUGCUAGCCAGUUUAUAGACCACUCAAGUUUGUCUCAAGAAACAAGGUAAGGUAUCUUUCAAAAGAUAAUUCAGAUUGAACUCUGUGGGUGCUGUAUUACUUUCAAGCUAUGUAAAGUAAGGAAAAGGGCGAUGAAACCAUGGCAGGAAAUGAUCCCUGAAGCAGCAGUGCUGACACAAAAUGACUGCAUGCACACAUACUGAGGGAGGUGAAACUUGCUCCUGUCUGAGAAAGAACAAGGCUCUGGAAAGAAAUCCUGCAGGCAGGACAUCUCCCAUAAAUGUACAGGGAGAAAGAAGAAUCACAGAGUAACAGAAUCAGCUAGGUUGGAAAGGACCUCUGAGAUCACUGAGUCCAACCUUUGACCUAACAACACCUUGCUUACUAGACCAUGGCACUAAGUGCCACAUCCAGUCUCUUCUUAAACACCUCCAGGUACAGUGACUCCACCACCUCCCUGGGCAGUCCAUUCCAAUGCCCAAUCACUCUUUCUGUAAAGAACUUCCUAACAUUUAACCUAAACCUCCCCUGGCACAGCUUAAGACUGUCCUGUUGCUGGUUGCCUGGGAAAAGAAACCAAUACCCGCCUCACUACAACUUCCUUUCAGGUAGUUGUAGAGGUCUUCCCUGAGCCUCCUCUUCUCCAGGCUAAACAACACCAGCUCCCUCAGCCUCUCCUCACAGGACUUGUACUCGAGUCCCUUCACCAGCCUCAUUGCCCUUCUUUAGACCUGCUCCAGCACCUCAAUAUCCUUCCUAAACUGAGGAGCCCAGAACUGGACACAGUACUUGAAGUGCGGCCUAACCAGCGCUGAGUACAGGGGAAGAGUCACUUCCCUGGACCUGCUGGCCACAUUGUUCCUGGUACAGGCCAGGAUGCCAUUGGCCUUCCCAAUUGGUCACCUGAGCACACUGCUGGCUCAUGUUCAGCUUCUUGUCAAUCCAAACUCCCAGGUCCUUUUCUGCCUGGCUGCUCUCCAGCCACUCUGUGCCCAGCCUGUAGCACUGCGUGGGGUUGUUGUGGCCAAAGUGCAAGACCUGGCACUUGGCCUUGCUGAACUUUCUACCAUUGGAUUCAGCCGAUUUAUCCAGCCUGUCCAGGUCCCUCUGAAGAGCCCUCCUACCCUCCAGCUGAUUGACCCUCCCCCCCAACUUAGUGUCAUCUGCAAAUUUGCUGAUGGUGGACUCAAUCCUCUCAUCUAAAUCAUCAGUAAAGAUAUUAAACAGGACUGGGCCCAACACUGAUCCCGGAGGGACACCCCUAGUGACCGGAUGCCAACUGGAUGCGGCACCAUUCACCACAACUCUCUGGACCUGACCGUCAGCCAGUUCUUAACCCAGCAGAGUGCCCCUGUCCAAGCUGUGGGCUGCCAGCUUUUUCAGGAGAUGGUGUCAAAGGCUUUGCUGAAGUCCAGGUAGACUAUACCCACAGCCUUCCCCUCACCCACCAGGCGGGUCACCUGGUCAUAAGAGGCGAUCAGGUUGGUCAGGCAGGAGCUGCCCCUCUUAAAUCCAUGCUGGCUGGAUCUGAUCCUCUGUCUGUCCUGUAGGUGCCGUGUGAUCGCACUCAAGAUGAUCUGCUCUACAACCUUGCCAGGCACCAAGGUCAGGCUGACAGUCCUGUAGUUUCCUUGGGUUAGGGCAUAGUUUAUGAAAGGGAGACAGAUACAUAACACCACUUAACUGAUUUUGCCUAGCAAAGUGUUUUCACCUGGAAAGAAAAUUAAGAUUUCUAGGGAUAACAGAGCACCAUUUCAUACAGGGUUUUAUAAGGCUUUAUUAAAGAUCGUGCUCUUCAAUAAAUAGUUUAAAAAUCAGAUGCAUUCAAGAUACGAGGUACAAAGUUUACAAGAAUAUCUUAAGAAAGAACACAUAAUUUUCUCAUUUUUGUACAUAUGAACUGGAUGUCAUUGCAAUUCUUGACUAUAGAAUAUAAAAACCCAUGUAUUGUUUUUUUAAAAUGUAUACUUUUGCGCUUUUCUAAACCCACAACAGAAUCCCUUGGUAAGUGCUAACUACACUGAAUGCUAUUCUCCACAAGGAAAUGAGGAAGAAAUACGACAGUAAUAUAUCCAGAUAAUUGGCAAAGAAAAGUACUAAAAACUGGGGCUUUUAAGAAUGCUUGCAAAAUGCACGCUGUUAGUGUCACCUUUAUUGCAUUAAAGCAGUUUUAACCACCAGAACAGCUAUUUCUGUUCCCUUCAGAUUCUUGGCCUCAUUCAACACACAAAACACAACACUCUUGGCUCUGAGCAUGAAUUAGGGAUUGGUAGCAGAAAUAAUAAGAAGUAGCCUUCUUCACUUCUUGCUAAAGUCAGAAGGCACCAAAGCAAGUAGAUACAAUAAAUACUUACAGUAGAUAUAGGGAAUAAAUAAGAAGAAUAGUGAAGUUAAAAGAGAGAAAAUUAAAAUAAUACUUAAAGUAGGUUUCUGAUUUGCCUCUGACAAUAGAAGUUUCUGUGCUCUGGUGGGAAAGUCACCCAAUCAACAAUCCUUUGAGAUGCUUGCUAACAGUGAAUUCCAUGUUUUCUAGCUGACCCACCUCAUACACCUUUAACCUUAGUGUCAAAGUACAUUAUGUUUCCAGAUAAAAGACAAGCCAUACGGAGAUGAGCACUUGCAGCAUUCAGUGCACUUUGAGCCUCAUGUUUAAAUGGGCAUUCUAAGGGAGAAUUGUCUCCUUUGGUCUAAGCUAGAGUAAUUGUUUUCACCGUUCCAUUAAGUGAGUAUCUAAAUCCAACACUUGAGAGAUGACACAUUUAGAAUAAAGGAGGAGAAUCAAAAUAGAGAAAUACACUGAAAGCCAAAAGUUUUUCCAGGGCAAGUCCUAACUCUUAGCAACAUUGAUGGAAACCAUUUAAUAAGAAGGUGUUCAGUAGAUUAACCUGUAAUGGAUUUGCUGAAGCUGUCCUCAGGAGGAUACCUACCACUAUUAUUUAAGAGUUAGGAGAGAAAAGGGAAAAGCCACAGCAACUGAACCAUAAAGAGAUGUCUUGAACUGGGUAGAUGAUUUUUUAUUACUAAAGAUAAUUUUAUUCUGUGUUGAUAUUAUUUGGUUUUGACAACUAUUAAAUGAGACAAAUUAAACAGGAGAGUUGGUUUGAAGGUUUUUUUUAAGUCAGAACUGCAACACUAUUAUUGCAUCAAAAUCCAUCAUCAAAUUUAAUGAAAACUCUACUACAAGAACCUGCCUGAGAAGACAGUCAUAGCCUAAGCAAUAAAACUAUAUCCAUACAUAAAUUUUCACUUUAAAAUCUUCUACUGCAUAAAAUUUAAAUGAAUGUCUGUGAUUUUUAUUCAGAUUUUAAACAAAUCAGUUGGCUUCCUUCUAUGUCCAGCACUUUCUGUGCAAACUCUGGAGAUACUUUUUUCUUUUAAAUCUUAGUGUUUUCAGAUAAUUUUGCACAAAAAAGGUUAUCGGUAGCAGCUUAGCUGCUAUUUAGUUAAGGCCUCAAAAAUAAUCCUUUAUUAAUAAAAUUCAUAGCUGGAUCACAUUAAAUCUUUAACCAUUGUGGUGGGGAAAAAAAGGGUGGUUUUCCCCUGGAGUUAAAAAAAAUGGUAACCCCCGAGGGGGUGGUGUCCCUUGGGGUUGAUCCAGUCAGCACCCCCGCAAAAUUUAAACAUAUAACACCAGACCGGAAAAGAAGGAUGAGGAGGUAGUUGGAGAAGAAGUGGCCAUGUUCUGAGACCACGAGGGGAGAAGGGGCAGGAGCCUCGCUGGGGGCCCACGGCCCCCCAGCCCCCUGGCUGGGGUUGUAGAAACUCAGAAACAGUGUUAAACUGGACCGGGUUCUGUGACUGAAAAGCUGUGAGUCUUCCUCCACUGUGAAUGGGCAGCAGGAGUGGCAGCAGAGACAGCACUGAGCAAAGAACUGUGGCAGAAAGCCAGAAAGAGAUAAGAAGCAGCAAAGGCGGCAUGCAGCCAAGCAGGAAGACACAGAGAUGUCUGAUAGAGAGAGAGAAGAGAAAGCUCAACAAAGACAGUUCUGGGGGUAAGAACUGAAUCAAAGCCCCCUAAAACCCCUUUGAGACCCCUCUUAAGAGGAGGGGGUAGACUCCUACUGGAAGUCCUAAAAUGCAACAUGCAGCAGAGAGAGAGGAGCUAAAAAGCUCAGACGUCCUGGAAGCUGGACUGGGACGGCCGGACAGAAUGCAGAGGAGGGCCUUGCCCCCCCCCCGCCACUGCUGCCAAGCUGGCAGUCUGAGACAGAGCAAAGGAGCUCUGAUAGAACGCUUGAGGAAAAGACUUUCAACUGAAAGCUGCCCUAGAUGUUCUGACUCAGGGGAGCUUGAAUCCCCUGAGGAAGGGACCUUCAUGGGGGUCUUACACCCCAUGAUAUGACGUGGUGAAGCAAGCCUGUCCCUGCAUCGCAGUCCAUGGGAGAGAGACCUUCGUUUGGAGUCAAAGGGCCGAGAGCGGUGAGAGGAGACCCCCCCUUGUGUGUAACGGAGAGAGAGAUCCAGCUACAACAAUCCAGCUACAGCUGCUGCAUUGAGGAGGAGAGACUGCUGCCCUAAAGGUGGAUAUUUCCUUCUUCCCUUCUGGACUUUUAUUGGAGGGAAAAGAGAUUUGAUCCAAUGUAAGUAUUACUUUAUCAUAGGAGAGAUAGUUAGGAUUAUGCAUAUAAUGUAUUAUAAUAUUUAUUUAUGUAGUGAUUGUAAUAUAAUUCCCUUCCCCCCAUAUUGAGUCUUGUGUUGUGUCUGGAAAACCCCUCUCACACUGGGUUGAGUUGUGGGAGGGGGGCUUGGACUCGGGAAUUGGAUUUUUGGGGGUUUCAAACCACGACAACCAUAUAAUCAUCUGCUAACAAGUACUUUUCCAGCUUGCACUUUUACAAACUGUAUUGUGGCAAAAAACCCCUCCAGAACAUUCAUUCCUUUGAUUAAGGAUCUCCUUCAUCUGAGCAGGCCAAGCUCUCUUGUCAGCUUCACUUGCCUGGAGAGGUGGCAAGAAGGAUAUCACCCCUCGUUCCUCAGAGGGAGAUGAAACCUACUUAAAAUCACAUGGAACUCAAGUCUCCUGACAGUACUAUUUCAACAUUAUCAAAUAUCAGCAGAGAAAUCAUGGAACACUGAAACCAUGCAAACAGAUCAAGAGAAGAGCAGGAUUUCCUCUUGUUGCUGUGAUGCAGCUGCCUAAUUGCUCCACACUGAUUUUGGACGCUGAACGUGAACAUGGGACUCCCUGUUGGCAAUUAAACACUGGACAGCAUUAAAUCUUUCUUGGAUAAUUCUUCAUUAUUUACUUCUUUUUGGUAAGAUUAAAAUAGAACUGCUAAAAUCUGUUUCUCUGA